rnacentral:rRNA from 1 species
UUAUGCUAGAAAGAGCGCAGGGUGGAUGCCUUGGCACUAAGAGCCGAUGAAAGACGUGAUAAGCUGCGAAAAGCUUCGGGGAGGAGCAAAUAUCCAAUGAUCCGGAGAUAUCUGAAUGGGGAAACCCGGCUGGACAGACUCCAGUCAUCCAUACGCCAAUCCAUAACGUAUGGAAGGGAACCCGGUGAACUGAAACAUCUAAGUAGCCGGAGGAAGAGAAAACAACAAGUGAUUCUGUGAGUAGCGGCGAGCGAAAACGGAAGAGCCCAAACCGGAAUGCGUGCAUUCCGGGGUUCGGACCGCGUAAUUGAUCUGAUAAGUUUAGCAGAAUGGUUUUGGGAAAGCCAGCCAGAGAGGGUGAAAGCCCCGUAAGCGAAAGACGAGUCAGCAAGGCGGGAUCCAGAGUACCACGAGACACGAGAAACCUUGUGGGAAUGAGCGGGGACCACCCCGUAAGGCUAAAUACUCCUUAGUGACCGAUAGCGCAUAGUACUGUGAAGGAAAGGUGAAAAGGACCCCGGGAGGGGAGUGAAAGAGAACCUGAAACCCUGUGUUUACAAGCUGUGGAACAUCUUUAUAUGAUGAACCGCGUACUUUUUGUAGAACGGUCCGGCGAGUUACGCCAUCUGGCGAGGUUAAGUUCUUAAGGAAUGGAGCCGAAGUGAAAACAAGUCUUAAUAGGGCGUUAAGUCAGAUGGAGUAGACCCGAAACCGGGUGAUCUAUCCAUGUCCAGGAUGAAGUUGCCGUAAAAGGCAAUGGAGGUCCGAACCCACAUCCGUUGAAAAGGGUGGGGAUGAGGUGUGGAUAGGGGAGAAAUUCCAAUCGAACCCGGAGAUAGCUGGUUCUCCUCGAAAUAGCUUUAGGGCUAGCCUCAUGAGAGUCUUUUGGAGGUAGAGCACUGAAUUCCCGCGGGGGCGUCAAAGCUUACCAAAGGAUAUCAAACUCCGAAUGCCAGUAAGAUGAUUCAUGGGAGUCAGACUGCACGAGAUAAGUUGGGUAGUCAAAAGGGAAAGAGCCCAGACCUGCAGCUAAGGUCCCAAAAUGUGUGUUAAGUGGAAAAGGAUGUGGGAUUUCAAAGACAACCAGGAUGUUGGCUUAGAAGCAGCCAUACAUUAAAAGAGUGCGUAAUAGCUCACUGGUCGAGAGGUCCUGCGCCGAAAAUGUCCGGGGCUGAAACACACUACCGAAGCUCAGGAAUUAACGUAGUUAAUUGGUAGAGGAGCAUUCUUAAAGGGAAGAAGCAGUACCGGAAGGAGCUGUGGACUUUUAAGAAGAGAGAAUGCCGGAAUGAGUAGCGAGAGGAAGGUGAGAAUCCUUCCGGCCGAAUACCCAAGGUUUCCAGAGUAAAGCUGAUCUGCUCUGGGUAAGUCGGGGCCUAAGGUGAGGUCGAAAGACGUAGCCGAUGGACAACAGGUUGAAAUUCCUGUACUGCAGUAUAACAGAACUGUGGGGACGCAGAGGGAGAGCACUAGCGGGAAUGGAAUCCCGCGGCAAGCGAGGUAGGAGUCGCGCUGGCAAAUCCGCGUGACAAUCCGAAGACGUGAUGCAUACCGAACUGAAGUAGGGAAAUGUGUGAGCCAGCUGCCAAGAAAAGCCGCUAUUGUUUGUACUGUACCCGUACCGUAAACCGACACAGGUAGGUGAGGAGAGAAUCCUAAGGCCGACGGGAGAAGCAUUGUUAAGGAACUCGGCAAAAUGACUCCGUAACUUCGGGAGAAGGAGUGCCAGUGAGAGCUGGCCGCAGAGAAUUGGCCCAAGCAACUGUUUAGCAAAAACACAGGUCUAUGCAAAACCGAAAGGUGAGGUAUAUGGGCUGACGCCUGCCCGGUGCUGGAAGGUUAAGGGGAGAGGUUAGCGCAAGCGAAGCUUUGAACUUAAGCCCCAGUAAACGGCGGCCGUAACUAUAACGGUCCUAAGGUAGCGAAAUUCCUUGUCGGGUAAGUUCCGACCCGCACGAAAGGCGUAAUGAUUUGGGCACUGUCUCAACAAUGCACCCGGUGAAAUUGAAAUACCAGUGAAGAUGCUGGUUACCUGCGCCAGGACGGAAAGACCCCAUGGAGCUUUACUCCAGCUUGAUACUGGGAUUCGAUAUUGUAUGUACAGGAUAGGUGGGAGGCGAAGAAGCAUUGACGCCAGUUGAUGCGGAGCCGCUGUUGGGAUACCACCCUUGCAGUAUUGGAUUUCUAACCAGCAGCCGUGACCCGGCUGGGGGACAAUGUCAGGUGGGGAGUUUGACUGGGGCGGUCGCCUCCGAAAGGGUAUCGGAGGCGCUCAAAGGU